CAUAAUUGGUCACACAGAUUCAUGUUCAACCGGGAAACCAGUCACCAUUCUUGGCUUCCCGGUUGAGGUGGAAAAAAGCGUGCAUGGAAGACCGCUGGAAAGCUACCUCUUGUUAUUUAGAUACGUAGCGCACCUAUCUACGUUAUCUUACUCCAACGCAUAUUGGUCGAGGGAAAACAAUUGAACGAUGAUAUGAAACAUGAAAGUUGAAAAAAGUCACGUAAGGAUAUUAAAACUUGACAGUAUUGUAUUUUCUGAAAACUGAUAGCGUAUAUCUAGAUAAAUGCGUCAUUAAAUGGGUAAAUAAAUUUAGUGUAUAAUUUGAUGCAUAAACGUAUAUUUCACUAAAACGUGACGACGAUUUUAAACUUUGUAUUACGAUAUUAUAACGGACAAUAGUAUUAUAUAUUUGCUACAAAGCGUUUUAUUGUCAAAUACCAACAUACUCUUCAAAGAAAACAAAAUGGACGCAUGGAAACCACUUCUACGUGACUUACAACGACAAAGAGGGCCUACGCCGCAACAACCAAACGCGUUAGACGUAGUUGGACUUACCAGACCAGACGAGCAUGACGUCACUGAAGCCACAUCCCGGCGACCGCGUGGUCACAGUUGCAAACGUUGCAAUGUACCCGGAUGUACAAAGUCGUGCGCAAGGUGCAUGCAAGUGUUCUUCUGCUCGAAGUCCUGCCAAACGUGCGACUGGCCGACUCACAAGCAUACGUGCAAAGGGUUGGAGGACCCUGGUGCCAGCCAGACUCCUGUGGCCGAUGGAAGAACCGAGUUGGUUUUACUGACAUUACAAGAAAUCUUCCCUACAGAGAACGACCAUGUUGUCUAUGUUGUCGAACAUACGUUUCUGGUCAAGAGGCAGUUGAAUUAGUGGACUUUGAGACAUGAAUAGAUCAGCAUACACAUUUCUCAAAUUAAGGUUGAGAGCGCUAUGUUUCUUGUACAUAUAAUUCAGAUUUAUUCAUAACUGGUUGCCAGAUGCAUCUAAAAAAUGUUGCCCCGGCUAUCAACCAUUUUAUUGAUUGUGGUUCUGCUGAUUUUGUAUUUCAAAAAAUUGUAAUUAUGUUAAAUUAAAGUUUUGUUUACGAAUUUUUAUGAAUAUGUAUACUUUACAUACUAUAUUUUUAAUCGUUCAACUCAUCAUUUAAUAGUUAAUUAACACUAAACUACGUUCAAUCAUAUAAAAUCUGUCGAAGCCUAUAAUAUUAUGCCGUACACUCGUUUUUGUUUCAGUUGAUAUUAUGUUCAUGAAUUGUAUGAUUUAUAUUUUAUUUAUGUUUUCAAAAUUGUUUUGUCCAUUUAUCAAAGUUGUUUAAAUUGUCAAGCCAAAAAUAAUAAAGUUAUACAUGGAU